rnacentral:rRNA from 1 species
GUGGGGAAUCUUAGACAAUGGGGGAAACCCUGAUCUAGCCAUGCCGCGUGAGCGAUGAAGGCCUUAGGGUUGUAAAGCUCUUUCAGCUGGGAAGAUAAUGACGGUACCAGCAGAAGAAGCCCCGGCUAACUCCGUGCCAGCAGCCGCGGUAAUACGGAGGGGGCUAGCGUUGUUCGGAAUUACUGGGCGUAAAGCGCGCGUAGGCGGACCAGAAAGUUGGAGGUGAAAUCCCAGGGCUCAACCUUGGAACUGCCUUCAAAACUCCUGGUCUGGAGUUCGAGGGAGGUGAGUGGAAUUCCGAGUGUAGAGGUGAAAUUCGUAGAUAUUCGGAGGAACACCAGUGGCGAAGGCGGCUCACUGGCUCGAUACUGACGCUGAGGUGCGAAAGCGUGGGGAGCAAACAGGAUUAGAUACCCCUGUAGUCC